AUUCCAUGAUGCAGACAUUCUAGGAUGUAGUCUUGGAAGUGCUCUCAUGCUUCUGGAACAGAUUCAUCAUGUUGUUGCUGAAAACUUGUAAUCUUCCCACAGAGAGC
rnacentral:snoRNA from 1 species